rnacentral:rRNA from 1 species
UACGUAGGGACCAAGCGUGGUUCGGAUUUACUGGGCGUAAAGGGCGCGUAGGCGGCGCGGUAAGUCACUUGUGAAAUCUCUGAGCUUAACUCAGAACGGCCAAGUGAUACUGCAGUGCUAGAGUGUGGAAGGGGCAAUCGGAAUUCUUGGUGUAGCGGUGAAAUGCGUAGAUAUCAAGAGGAACACCUGAGGUGAAGACGGGUUGCUGGGCCAACACUGACGCUGAUGCGCGAAAGCCAGGGGAGCAAACGGG